GUGGAUAUAGCUCAGUGGUAGAGCUCUUGCCUAGCAAGUAUGAGACCCUAGGUUCAAUGCCUAGAAACACA
rnacentral:tRNA from 1 species